GAAGGAUUGUCUGGAAGGAAGGAUAAAAGGUUCUUGCUUGCUGACCAGCUAUUGCCUCUGAGGACUAAGAGAUGCAGCCAGGAUGGUGCCAGGCCCUGCGGAAACAUUUCUUCCUUGUGGUUCUCAGGCUCCCAGCCCGACCCAGGAAUGAUAUGAGACAGGGAGGACAGAGGAGGGGGGCUGGCUUGAGAGUUGGACAAGCCCGGGUUGGAGCCCUGUUCUACUGCCCAUGGACUCUCUAAGCAAGAUCUGAACUUCUCUAAGUGCCAUUGUUUUCAUCUACUAAGCAGAGAUGAUAAAUGUAUAUGAUCAAUAAUCUGAGAAGCUAUCUGGAAUAAAUGAUUGGAAUAAAAUAACAUGCAAAGUACCAGUAAGGUUGGCUGGGCUCAUACGGGCAGAUCUUCAGCUCCAUGUGAGGCCAACUGGGUUGAUCAUGCGGCUGCAUUCAGCUAGGAGCUCAACUGAGGCCAGAACAUGAAGAAGACUUCAUUUAAAUGUCUGGUCGUGGGUGCCAACUAUCAGCUGGGACAGAUCUGUGCUCUGUCUCCUGGUCUCCAUCUUCCAGGACCUCUCUCCAUAUGGUCUCUCCAUUCAUAUAUGGACGUGUUGACAUGACAAGUGGCUUUGGAGAGGGAGUGUUGCUUUCAAAAGGAAAGAAAUCAGAAUCAGGUCAAUGGAGAAACUGCAUUUCUUGAUAACAACAAUAAACAAUUUGAAACUAAA